AUUGAACGCUGGCGGCAGGCCUAACACAUGCAAGUCGAACGAGUGGCGGACGGGUGAGUAAUGUCUGGGAAACUGCCUGACGGAGGGGGAUAACUACUGUAAACGGUAGCUAAUACCGCAUACCAUCAGAUGUGCCCAGAUGGGAUUAGUUAGUUGGUGGGGUAACGGCUCACCAAGGCGUCGAUCCCUAGCUGGUCUGAGAGGAUGACCGGCAACACUGGAACUGAGACACGGUCCAGACUCCUACGGGAGGCAGCAGUGGGGAAUAUUGCGCAAUGGGCGCAAGCCUGAUGCAGCCAUGCCGCGUGUAUGAAGAAGGCCUUCGGGUUGUAAAGUACUUUCAGCGGGGAAGCGUUACCCGCAGAAAAAGCACCGGCUAACUCCGUGCCAGCCGCCGCGGUAAUUC
rnacentral:rRNA from 1 species